rnacentral:rRNA from 1 species
CCUACGGGAGGCAGCAGUGAGGAAUAUUGGUCAAUGGCCGAGAGGCUGAACCAGCCAAGUCGCGUGAGGGAAGACGGCCCUACGGGUUGUAAACCUCUUUUGUCGGGGAGCAAAGCGAACCACGUGUGGUUCAUUGAGAGUACCCGAAGAAAAAGCAUCGGCUAACUCCGUGCCAGCAGCCGCGGUAAUACGUAGGGGGCAAGCGUUAUCCGGAUUUACUGGGUGUAAAGGGAGCGUAGACGGUGCGUCAAGUCUGAAGUGAAAGCCCGGGGCUUAACCCCGGGACUGCUUUGGAAACUGGCGCGCUAGAGUGCUGGAGAGGUAAGUGGAAUUCCUAGUGUAGCGGUGAAAUGCGUAGAUAUUAGGAGGAACACCAGUGGCGAAGGCGGCUUACUGGACAGUAACUGACGUUGAGGCUCGAAAGCGUGGGGAGCAAACAGGAUUAGAUACCCUUGUAGUC